rnacentral:rRNA from 1 species
GGGUGAGUAACACGUGAGUAACCUGCCCCAGGCUUUGGGAUAACCCCGGGAAACCGGGGCUAAUACCGGAUAUGACUGGCUGCCGCAUGGUGGUUGGUGGAAAGAUUUUUCGGCUUGGGAUGGACUCGCGGCCUAUCAGCUUGUUGGUGGGGUAAUGGCCUACCAAGGCGGCGACGGGUAGCCGGCCUGAGAGGGCGACCGGCCACACUGGGACUGAGACACGGCCCAGACUCCUACGGGAGGCAGCAGUGGGGAAUCUUGCACAAUGGGCGGAAGCCUGAUGCAGCGACGCCGCGUGAGGGAUGACGGCCUUCGGGUUGUAAACCUCUUUCAGCAGGGACGAAGCGUUUGUGACGGUACCUGCAGAAGAAGCGCCGGCCAACUACGUGCCAGCAGCCGCGGUAAGACGUAGGGCGCGAGCGUUGUCCGGAUUUAUUGGGCGUAAAGAGCUCGUAGGCGGCUUGUCGCGUCGACUGUGAAAACCCGUGGCUCAACUUCGGGCUUGCAGUCGAUACGGGCAGGCUAGAGUUCGGUAGGGGAGACUGGAAUUCCUGGUGUAGCGGUGAAAUGCGCAGAUAUCAGGAGGAACACCGGUGGCGAAGGCGGGUCUCUGGGCCGAUACUGACGCUGAGGAGCGAAAGCGUGGGGAGCGAACAGGAUUAGAUACCCUGGUAGUCCACGCUGUAAACGUUGGGCGCUAGGUG